CCGUCCUGCGCGCCUUCUCUUUCCCUCCACAGACCAGUGAGCGCACAGCAUUAUUGGUAGUGUAGUCUUGUCGUGACGCAAGGAUAGGGGCGGCAUCUCGUUUAUAGGUCCGGCCAUGUUGUGAGGGGCAGGGUUAUCAGCACUCCAUUAGAAUAGGCUGUCAAUCAGAAGAGCAGGAGGCAGAGGAUGCAAAGUGAGGAACCAAUGAUGUCCGGGUGUCAAACUUUACAGAGGAAGAUGGAGCUGGAAGAAGACAUGGCGUCUGGACCAGAUGAAGAAGAAAAGGAAAGACAACAGAGAAGACGUCUCCUGAGACUACUCACCAUUCAUUCACUUACUCAAGUGGGAGGGCCCACAAUAACUCACUCACUGGACAGUAAAAGUUGAAAGAAGCUGAAAAUCGGUCCCGACAGGUCCUACUCAAACAACUAAGGAUAUGGAGUGGGAGCCUUGAUCAAGUUACACUCAACACCACUGAACUGCCUUUUCAUCGCUGUCUUGCAUACUGGUGUAAAUUUAAGUUUAUAAUCCAUAUUUUUCUGGUAUACUUUUUUUUCAUGAUUUUUGAUGUAAUGCCAGUCCUUAACAAACAGUUAAGCAUCAUGAUGUUAUCUUUUCCAGUUCCUUAUCUACAGUAAUUUUAAGAUGGGUAUUUUUCACUGUUACAUUUCAUAUUCAUUAUGGGGGAGAUUUAUCAAAUCCUGUC